UGUCCCAAAAUUCUCCGGUUGAAAGAAACCCAUCACUAACUUGUUCCAGGUGUUGGAUCCUCCACAACCAAAAGGCGACCAUUGUCGUCAUCAUCGCUCACGGCACUGACCAUCGAGGCCACGGUGGGCAUGAGAAGUGCGCAUCGCCCAAGACUUGGACCGUUUCAAAGUACCGCAAGCUGCCAUGGCCAUCUUCUUCCUCUGCUCCUUUUGCGCCCGUGGUGCCAGGUGAGUGGCUGCACUGCGUUUUUGGCAUGAACAGAGGCGACACAGGCAUGGACUUGACCGGCCGAGAUGAGAUCGACAGCGGCCUGGGCCGGAUGGCAGGAGAAACGGUCUAGAUUCUACGCGACGUGGAUUGGAUGGACGGAUGGGUGCUUGCUGGUGUGCAUGCUGCUGCAUGGCGUCCCUUUCUUGAUUUUCAGCAGCAGGCAGUCCAGUCUCCAGUCUAUGGCUGUGGGUUGUGACAGUGAAACACACACACUAGUCCCUACAUGUUUUAUUCUGCAGCACAAAAAAUAAUGUGCAUUUCAGCAGCCUAAUCGCUUCACUUUUUGUAGGAGAGAAUUUCUUUUCGAGCCGUUUUCUGGGAGGGUUCCAAGGUUGCUUCCUGCGAAGAGGCACAAGACGACGUUGAAGUCGAAGGCAACUUCCUUUACCCUUUUUUUCCUCUAUAUGGUGUCAACCAACAUGGAGCACUACAUUUGGCCAGGGAUAGUUGCCCAAAGCCAAAUGCAAAUGCGAUGCACCUAAAAAGGGGAAAAAGAGGAGGAAAGAAGUUCAAGGCUUUGGAACAAUUCAACACGGUUUUCUGCGUUCAGCGACACCGACGGCCGGAGGGACGGACGGAAAAGGAUAUUUGGAGAUAUGUGGUGCGGUGUGUCACCCCCUUUUGGAAUUUGCUGUGGAAAGUCACGGCCGCUCGCCGCUAGUGGACAUGCACGCACCAACGACCUGCUGAAAAUCUUGUGUCAGUGGAGCUUACCUACGACCGAGGCAAUGCUUCACCUUCACUGCUCACUUUGCCUGCUGGACCAAUCAUCUGGAUUUGAACGCAUGGAUGGAUCUCUGCUUGGAACAGCGGGGAAAUGCUGGCGCGAAAUCCCGGCAUUUUCAGCCGGGACGAAAUGUUUUUCAUGGGCUUGAUAUUAGCACCGGCCUGGCUCGAGUUCAGGAUAAACUGGUCAAAGAUUUGUGUUCGGCAAUUUGUUUUCUUUUUUCCUUAACCGCAUCCAUAUUUAUUUUGUAAAGUAUGUGUGGCUGCGAAAGGGUUGACCGUGGGGGUCAAGAGUGGCUUCUUUAUUUUAAAGUAUGUGUGCUUUGCAGUUGCAGGUCAGAGAUUAUUCUGCUCUUCAUGCCUCC